AGGGGCGAACACGGGAGCCCGGAAGGAUCGGGCUGAGAGGAAAGCUUUUCGCUUUCGACCGUUUGGACCUGAUCCGGGUAAUGCCGGCGCAGGAAGGUUUCCUCAAAUUUUCC
rnacentral:ncRNA from 2 species